rnacentral:rRNA from 1 species
AGUACGACCGCAAGGUUAAAACUCAAAUGAAUUGACGGGGACCCGCACAAGUAGUGGAGCAUGUGGUUUAAUUCGAAGAUACGCGCAGAACCUUACCAACACUUAACAUGUUCGUCGCGACUCUAAGAGAUUAGAGUUUUCGGUUCGGCCGGACGAAACACAGGUGCUGCAUGGCUGUCGUCAGCUCGUGUCGUGAGAUGUUGGGUUAAGUCCCGCAACGAGCGCAACCCUCACUUUUAGUUGCCAUCAUUAAGUUGGGCACUCUGAAAGAACUGCCAGUGAUAAGCUGGAGGAAGGUGGGGAUGACGUCAAGUCCUCAUGGCCCUUACGUGUUGGGCUACACACGUGCUACAAUGGUAUCUACAACAGGAAGCAAAACCGCGAGGUUAAGCAAAUCCCUAAAAGAUACCUCAGUUCGGAUUGCACUCUGCAACUCGAGUGCAUGAAGCUGGAAUUACUAGUAAUCGUGGAUCAGCGUGCCACGGUGAAUGCGUUCCCGGGUCUUGUACACACCGCCCGUCACACCAUGGGAGUUGGUUCUACCUUAAGGCAAGGCUUAAAACCCUUGACCACGGUAUAGUCAGCGACUGGGGUGAAGUCGUAACAAGGUAACC